AACAAUAUAUGUUCCCACAAACUAUCACAAUAAAUAAGUUUGCUUGUUUUUUUUCAAACAGGCGGAAUGCUAGCUGGCACUUGCAAUGCAUAUUUGGUGCCACUCGCCAAUCGCUUUCAGGUUCUGGUUGGCGUAACGACUGUUAAUCGAAUCGGUGGUGCAUAAACAAGCAAUGAAAUAGUACAAAAACAGCACAAUAUAGGAUAGCUGUUUAGUUUAUUUCCACAAUGUGUCAUCCAGAAAACAAAUAUAUAUUGCUGAGAGAAAUGCACUCUCUAUGAAGCUCUAAGCCACAGGCAGGAAAGUCCAGGCCAGGGGGCCAUAUCCGGCCCCUGACAUUAUUUUAUAUGGCCUGCAGGAGCAAAUCAUGUGCGUCAACUAUCAUGAUUCUUGCCAAAAUCUGGACCGAAAUGUCAAACUGUCAUGGGUAAUAAAUAACGUUGAGAUUUUGCACCGGCCCGCCGAGGGAACCCUUAACUCCGGAAUGGCCCUCGACAAAAAAUGAGCUUGACAGCCCUGCUCUAAGCCAAGGGUCUUCAAACCUGUUCCUCAAAGGCCACUGGCCUGCCUGUUUUCCAUCUUUCCUUGCUGCAACACAUGAAUCAAGUGAUCAGGGUCAUUCUCCGGCUUCUGCAGACCUUGCCGAUUAUCUGAUCAUUUGAAUCUGGCAUAUUGCAACAGGGAGAGAUGCAAAAUAGGCAGGUCAGCGGACGUCGAGAAACACCUUUGAUGACCCCCGCCCUAAGAUAUUAAACAGCGGCCCAGCACACCACCAGCUAACAAUUUUUCACAUUGCACUGAUAUAAUCAAGUCCUUUUAUGGAAAGCUUGCAGUGUAAGGUAAUCGCCUCACAGUUUACAAGGAAGAGACGUUCAAAUAAUAAUUGAAAAUCUAGCAACCUAACAAUUUAGAUGGGUUUCAAAAGCCCUUUUCCACCCUUGUGUUUGUGAGUGAGUAAGCGUCAAUUUGGCUUGCACAACGGCGAGCCAGGACAAGUGGCUGUGUUAUUACUUUGGCUAAUGCUAAAUGUUAUCUUGGUAUCUUGGGCGACAGUUCAACAACUAUAAACAAGUCAUUCCACGCACCAUUAACCAACCUUUUUUUUUUCUUCUCAGUCACGGCAACUAUUGGAAACUGACUGCGUCGAUCACCUCGCACCAGUCCCACAUUGUAACAUUAGAAAUGCGUAGUCUAAAAUGCUCAGAACCUUUGACUGUUUUACAUUACUUUGUGUUUGAAUACAGCGGUAGCCCUACUUAUGAAAUUAAUUGGUUCUGGAAGAAACUUCUGAACUAGAACAUUUUGUAAGUAGAAAUGCGUUUUCCAUGUAAAUGCCGUAAUCCGUUCCAAGCCCCCC